UAAGUGGACCUCUUGGAGCCCCUGUAUUGGGCCCCUAAUGGGACCUUUGGGUAUGAUUCUCCUGACUCUGCUGUUUGCUAUAUAAACUUUCUCGCUUACUGUUAAUGCCACAGAGUGCGAAAAAGACCACUAUCACAUCUUUUGAGACAAAUCCGAAACAAGCUUUAUUAAAUACUGACCAGGACAAUGGACCCUAGCCGAGUCCACCCCUCAGAUUCACAGAGUAUGGUACACAUUAUGUUAGUCGGAAGCUCUGAACCGCAAACCCACAAAGCUACGUACUUCCACCCUUUGUUCGACCAGGGGCAAGCGUAUAUCUUGACGUACUUCCUCCCUAUGUAACUCUGGCUACUUGUGAGCAAGCGCAUCUUGUGCUGUCGGGGCAACCAAACUUGUUUACAGAAAUGGAAACACCCGGGGCUUGUUACCUUACUUGAACAACACCUCCAGCAUCCCAGGAAGUUAUCUGUCCUUGGGCAAGUGAGGCUUACAGUUCCUGCUACAGGAUCAAGACAAAGAGGAGAGAACGUGGUGGAAAUCCUCCAAACUUCCAUGUGUUAGGAAACGGAAAUCCCCUGGUCGUCAGCCUGUUCUCUGCUCCAUUUGCAGGAUCUCCAGAGCUGGAGGCUCUGGGGAGGUGGAGCUCUGGGAGACACUUCGGAUAGUUUCUCAUUGGUGCCCCCGUAUACCGGAAACCCAGUCAGCAGCUCCUCGGAAUGUGACUUCUUCUUACGGCAAUGUCUCUGGAGAGAUCACUAAGGCCCAUUUGUCUCUUCACUACAGGUAUUCAAGAUUUAAGAUUAUUACAUUGGGCUGGAGAGAUGACUCAGUGAUUAAGAGCACGGACUGCG